GGGUCCCUCCGGCCGGUGGCGUGCAGCGUGUGGGAAAACACGCGCCUUUGCUGCGUCCCCUCCCCCAGGACCCGGCUUCCGGAGCGGAGCAGGCCGGUGUAGACCCGAGAACCUCAGGCGAGGAGGAGCGGGUGGCGGGAGCGUGUUGGAGCUUGGGUGACUUGAGGAACGUGGGCGUGUGGAGGCGCGCCUGGCCUGGCACCCGCGGAGGAGGGCGCGUGACUCGAUGAUGGAUUCCUUGGAACGAGAAAGCAGCCCUGAGUACAAACUUCAGUGUUUUGGGGAGGAAUCCUGGAAACGUGACUUUUGUGACUGUACCGUGGCGUCUGGAUACUUAUCGCUCCAUCUCUUGGGGUUGCCGUCGAUUACUUAGCUCGAUGGAGCAUCUGUCCCAAUGACAGAUCAAACUGAUUGCCCCAAAGCUCGUCCUGUGGAACCUGUGAGUUUCUGGAGCUUUACUUACAGAGCGUGGAUGAGGGGUUGCCUACAAAAGUGAGUGAUCCUAAAGUUGGGGGCCUGAAAGCCCUACCCAUCAUGGCUGAUGGCUUCCGCAUAGCCAGUUACUCCAGCACCUCCUAAGAUCGCGUGCAAGUAGGCAGAAAGACAUACAAGUGACUAGGGGGAGAAGCUGGAAGCUCAGGUCCGGUGACCCUUCCCAUCCCCUCGGGGGGGGGGGGGACUGCAGUAGUCUGGCCUCCAGCACGGUGAUCUGAUGGCUGCUUUCUUCCGAGUGCCUCAUUCUACCACACGCUUGACCUCAAUAACCCAGAAGGGCCAGGGCCGAGAGCCGCAGACUUUACUUCCCCCACCUCUUGAGUUUAUGGUCUCAUUCAGCAGGUUUGCUCAGCCACAUGCUUCUUCCGUGGUGUGAUGCCCUGCUAGGGACCUAAGAACAACAUAGUGAGACACGAACUCACAAAAUUGAGGCCAGAAUAAGCAUUUAUGUAUUUGUUUUUGAGACAAGAGUUUUGGUAUGCAGCCCAGGCUGACCUUGAACCCAGGUCAUCCUGCCUCAGUCUCCCAAGCGCUAGGGUUACAGGUGUGCACCACCACACCCAGCGACCUUUCCUCUUCAUUAGCUAUCUCAGGUGUUUGCUGCGGCAAUGGAAGACUGACUAUACACCCUCCUCCUUUCUUGGUUCUUACAAAACCUUUUAUGUGCCUGAAGAGGUCAAAAAACGGGCAUUGGAUCCCCGGGAACUGAAGUUGUGAGCCACUAUGUGGGUGCUGGGAACUGAACCUAGGUUCUCUGCAAGAGCAACAGUGCUCUUACCCAGCAAGCCUUCUCUUCAGCUCCCGUUCUGUUCUGAGGAAGCAGACGUCAUGUGCCUGCAGCCUGGGACAGACAACUCCAGGGGAAGAAAAAGCAGAGGCUCCUUGUGAAUACUGAGUAGGUUGGUGGCAUCUGUCCAGCACCAGUGAGACUGGCACCGGCGGAUUCAGCAUGGAGGUGCGGGGAGAGGGUAAGGUCUCAGGGAGGAAAAGGGGGCGGUCCUCCGAGAUUAGGAUACUGUCUGCCACACCGCACAAGCUUUAGCAUGGUCGUGGUCCUGGGAAGACCUGGGGUCUGUUGUCUGACACUUGUAGUCGUCUUCUUUGUCCCCAGUUUGCUCGUUGGAAGGCACUGCUGAGACCACUGAGGCCCCAGGCAAAGCUUGUGUGGUGUCCUGAGCUGUGCGCCCACGCUAUGCCCUCCCCUCCUUGGCCUUUCGAAUUCUGCAUAGUUGGUUUUCUUCCAUUGUCAGGAGUCUGUUUUUUAGCCUUCAUCAGAAAGGAUAGUCAUCGUUUCUCUAUUUUUUAAUUAGUGUCUUUUAGAUGUAAUCUUGUUUAUUUAUGUGAGAGAGUGUGUGUGUGUGUGUGUAUGUGUGUAUACCUGUAUAUUGCUCACACAGGCCUGAAGAGGGUAUCAGGUAUCCUCUGCUGUCACUUUCUGCCUGUUCUUUUGAGGCAAGGGCCUUGCUUGAGCUUAGGACUGACUCACUGUCUCAGGCUGGAAGCCAGCACACCCCAGAGAUCCUCUUGUUUUCACCCUGGGGAUGGAGUUAGAGGCCUUCGUAGAGAUGCCUGACUGGUUAAGUGAGCGCUGCAUCUGAAUUCUGGUCCUCGUGAUUGCAGAGCAAGUACUCUUAAUGUCCGAGUCAUCUCUCCAGCCCCCGGCUAGUUUUAGGGUCCUUCCCCCCCACUUAUAACGUGUACUUACUUUGUGUGUGUAUGUCUGUGUACACGGGCAUGUGAGCCACAGCACAGAGGACAAUUUAGCAGAAUUGGCUCUCUCCUUCUACCACGUGGGUCCCACGUGGGAUUGAAUUCAGGUUGUUAGUGAGUAUCUUUACCCUCUGAGCCAUCUUGCUGGGGUGCCUGAUUAGUUCUUUGGCACAGGAUCUCACUGGGUUGCUCCAGCAGGGAUGGAACUCACUAUGUAGCUCAGGUUUGCCUUAAACUUGCAAUCCUCACCCUUGUGAGUGCCAAGAUUACAGGCUGUGCCACGGCACCUGAUGUUUGGCUAUCUUUUGACAUUUUAAUUUUUUUAUUAUUACUGUGUGUUCAUGAUAUUCCACAGUAGGAGUAUAGAGGUCAGAGAAUAACUGUAGAGCUGGGUCUCUCUCCCUCCACCUUUUACGUAUGUUCUGGGGAGAAAUCUCCGGUCACCAGGCUUGCCCAGCAAGUGUCCUUAGCCAGCCACCAACCCACUGUGCUCUCUUAACUUCCUUUGCAUUUUCUUAUCCGUUCAGAUCUUGCCACUUCUCUCCUUGGCCAGAUGCAGGGUGUUCAAAUUGCAGCUCCGUCACUUACACCGUGAGUCACUCGGGCUCUGAGUCUAUGCUGUAAAGUCACUUGCCUCCUGUUGGGAGGAGGAGGAAGAAGGUAUGUGGUGGCAUCCAGCAUGUCGCUAUGCCUCCUGAACCCAUGGCUUUCCUGCAGUGCCUUACACUUGCUAGGCAUGUGCUUAUUCUGCCACCAAACUUCCUCCUAGCUUGUCUUGUCAUCAGAUUCGGGUCUCUUGGUCAUCAUUGUUCAUUGCCUAGUUCUGGAAACUCUUUAGGGAAAACACUGAGCUCAUCACUCUCUCCCAGAAUUGGCAGCAGCUGUGCCUCCUCUGCCAGCGUGGACUGUACUCUUGAAGUAUGAGCCUAAGUACCCUUCUGCUCUGGCCUCUAAGUGGACCCCCCCUCCCAUAUACAAGUGACAGCAUUUAAACAACAUGAAAAAUAAAUGAAAAUGAAAUGAAAAGUGUGUGUCUCUGUCCUUGGCUGGGAAAGCUCACGGAGACUGCUCACACUUGCAGUAAGUGUUUGAAUCUACAUCGGCAUAUCUAAAUGAGAUCAACAUGCCCUGAGGAAAUGGUUUUGUUUUUGUUGUUGUUUUGAGACAGGCUCUGAGUGUGUAGCUCUGGCUGUCCUGGAACUCACUAUGUAGACUAGGCUGGCCUCAAACUCACAGAGAUCACCUGCCUCUGCCUCCCAGGUGCUGGGAUUAAAGGUGUUCCACUACACCCGACGAAAAAAGUGUUGUUUUUGACUGGUGAUGUAGCCUACUAUGCACAGGGCCCUGGGCUUAAUCCCUGGUCCACCCCCCCCCAGGGAAAAAAGAGAAAGAGGAAAACAAAAAAGUGGUUUUUUUAAUUUCUAAAAAUAAUAAUAACAAAGUUAAACCACAAAACCUCUAAAAUACAGACUAACAACAGUGGGUCAAUAGUCACUCAGGGUACCUGAGAAAGUUCAGGACCCUCCCUACCUCUUCACGAAGUCCCUCUGACAUGGUAAAUGAAGCAUGCAUUUGACUGACAUUUACAGAUUCUGCAUUAGCAGAGUGGUUUAUUCAAAUUGGCCAGGAGGUCAUUUCACCAGGAGCUGAAAAGGUGUAGGGGAAGAGAAAGAGAUGUUUGAGAGAAGGCAGGCGACUCUAAGGCUUUGGGCUGUGUGAAUAAAGAUGGUUGAGAAGGGUUAAGAAGGAUAAACUUAUGAGGUCUGUGGUGGAAGAAAAGGGUCUUGCACUUCCCUUGUACAAGGAGUAGGAGGUGGAAACCCCAGGUUAAUUUACCCAACCGAUAUUAUGAUGUGGGAGGCAAAUAAAACUUGCACUCCUCCUUAAUUGAGGUUCCCAGUGCGCACACACCAGUCACCGCCCAUCCCUGUGUAUUCAUGUGGGGGCUAAAGGCUGCUCUUGCGGUUUGAUUCUUACAACGGUAAAAUUUCAGUGUGUUCAAAACCAAGCUAUAAUUCGUGAGACCAUUUUUUUGUUGCUUUUUUUUUUUUCUGGCAAUGCCAGGAAUCCAAUCCAGGUCCUUACACACAGACUAAGCAAGUGUUCCACCACUGAGCUGCAUCUCCAGCUGUGGCAUACUUACCUAGAAAACUCGACUGGGGCUGGUCAUGGAGCUCAGUGGUAGAGACCUUAUCUGUCAGAUGUGGGGACCCUGGCUUUGAUGCCUAGAAGUUCACUAUGAGAAAAACGACAGGCAAACAUCAGUAUUUAGUUUUUACUCAAGAAAUGUAAUUUGUUAAAUAAACCAGUUUUGGGAACUAA